CAGCCGCCACGGUAAAACGUAGGCAGCAAGCGUUGUUCGGAGUUACUGGGCGUAAAGGGUGUGUAGGCGGCUCUCUAAGUUUGGUGUGAAAUCUCCCGGCUCAACCGGGAGGGUGCGCCGAAUACUGAAGGGCUAGAGUACGGGAGAGGAAAGUGGAAUUCCUGGUGUAGCGGUGAAAUGCGUAGAUAUCAGGAGGAACACCGGUGGUGUAGACGGCUUUCUGGACCGUAACUGACGCUGAGACACGAAAGCGUGGGUAGCAAACAGGAUUAGAUACCCCUGUAGUCCCUGUCUCUUAUAC
rnacentral:rRNA from 1 species